GAUGAACGCUAGCGGGAGGCCUAAUACAUGCAAGUUGAACGGUAAGGUCCCUUCGGGGAUACACGAGUGGCGGACGGGUGCGUAACGCGUACGAAACAUACCUUCAACAGGGAGAUACCUCCGGGAAACUGGAAAUAAUACCCCAUAGUAUUGAGAUAUCGCAUGAUAUUUCAAUUAAAGCUUUGGCGGUUGAAGAUUGUCGUGCGUCUGAUUAGCUAGUUGGUGAGGUAACGGCUCACCAAGGCGACGAUCAGUAGCUGGUCUGAGAGGAUGAUCAGCCACACUGGAACUGAGACACGGUCCAGACUCCUACGGGAGGCAGCAGUAGGGAAUAUUGGACAAUGGCGGGAAG
rnacentral:rRNA from 1 species